CUCACGGGCCAGGGUCUUGGAUAUUUCAUAUGACUCCCUCCUCCAGCACAACGAUUCAAAUGAUCCAAAAUAGCCUGUCACCCAGGCAUUGAGAACGUUUGACGUGAGGGAGGCAGAGAGUGUCGACCGUCACAGUCCCCAGGGCAGAGGGACGAGGGUGGUGGCUGAGAUGACCGGGUGUCACUUUGGAUCUCAAGGCGAUGGUGUCCCAAGCACUAAAGUUAAUCUUUACCUCUGGAGACGGGCACAUUCGCUGUUGAGAGGGCACAUCGAGUCCUGAUGAGGACA